ensembl:lncRNA
GUGCAUGUCUGUGUACGUGUGUAUGGAGCCAUUGGGUGCGGUCACUAUAGCAACCAGGCUCACACCUGCCUGCUUAACGAGCUCUGCCUGCCACUGUACCAAGAUUCAUCUUAAGCACUUCUCUUUCAACUGCUGCUGUGUCCACAGUGUUAAAGCCAUCAUUUUACCCUCAAAACGUCGCCAUCGUUGUUCUUUUUCCAACAUCUUGUCUUUCAAAGCUCAGAGAUGUAAACUUUUUAAACUGUGUGGGUCCAAGUGGAGGGAUCACAUUUGAGUCAUUCAGUGAUUCAAAGAAUAUGACCUUUUAAUAUUCAUUCAGAUGUUUUCUGACUCUAAAUGUUCUUUUCUCAUUUCUUAGGGUUUUCUAAUUUAUAUUUAAAACAUUUUCAGUUUUUUUCCAACUCCUUCUUCUGUGUAACCUUCAGCUUUUAGCAGUUCAGCACCUUUGUUUUCAGGUUAAAUUCGUUUUUUUUUUUUGUUUUUUUUAAUCUCAUUCAAUAUUUUUAACUCAAAAUUCAGCAAUUAAUUCAUUUCAGUGCAUACAUUCAGAUUCAAGCAUUCACACUGCAGUUUCUUCAGAAAAUGCACUUUCUAGUUAGUGUGAAUGCUUGAAAAGCAUUCACAGUAUUGUUAUUCUAAUCUUUAUUAUUAUUAUAUUUUAUUUUUCCGUACGUUUUUUGAAAGCCUACUCCUUCAAAACCGUUCAACUUAGAAAAACCAUUCAAACAUCGUUAGAUUCCUAUUAUUUUGGACAACAUUGCUUCUAUUUUUCUCAUUUUUAACAUUUAUAUUUUUAAUUUUAUUCAACUUUAUUCAACAAAAAUUUCCCAUGUAUUUCAAUGGGGAGACCCUUCAAAUUCUCAUUCAACUUACUCAUUUUUAAACUCUUACUACUUCCACAUACAUUGACAUAGAGCCACCAUUCAAACUUUAAAACGAAGACAAGACAUUCAACUAUUCAACUUGUAUUUAUCUUUUCAAUAUCUAUUAUACUUUUUCUUCAGUUCCAGUUUAAGUUUCAUGAUGUUUUUUCACCCGUUUCAAAAUUUAUAAUGGGUGUGUAUGGGACGGAAUGUUGGGGCUAGAGUGAGACAGCUCAACUGCUAGAGUGAGAGGAGCAAAAAAAUUAAUCUUAAAAUCUUUUUUAAAACUGCUGCUGUGUCCGCAGCGUUUGCUCUACAGGUAUGAUUUUACCCUCAAAACGUAGCCAUGGCUGUCCUCUUUCAUCCAAUGUGUUUACUAUUGUACUAGGUGUUAUGGUUCUUUCAUAAAUGUCACCAAUGCACAGCCUCCUCCCUCCAACUCUUCCAUAGACUCUAAUGUUAAAAUGGCUCAGAAGGUUGGUUUGAAAAUCAGAAGAGCAUGGUGUCUUUCCACUGUCACCAUGUCCAUAUAAUAAACUCCACAGGCAUGAAAACUGAGAAUUCAGUAGACUAGAAGCUGCUGUCGCUCACGGUGAAAUAAUUUUGUCAAUACGACUUUUACUUUUCAUUUGGGAACGAUUUGUUUCGGCCUGACUUUUCUGUUCAUUUUAAGCAGCAAAAGUGAGGCGCAUGUCUGUGUACGUGUGUAUGGAGCCAUUGGGUGCGGUCACUAUAGCAACCAGGCUCACACCUGCCUGCUUAACGAGCUCUCUCUCUCACUGUACCAAGAUUCAUCUUAAGCACUUCUCUUUCAACUGCUGCUGUGUCCACAGUGUUACAGCCAUCAUUUUACCCUCAAAUUGUCGCCAUUAUUGUUCUCUUUCCAACACCGUGUCUUUCAAAGCUCAGGCAUUUAAACUUUUUAAACUGUGUGGAUCAAAGUGGAGGGAUCACAUUUUCUUCAUUCAGUGAUUCAAAGAAUAUGACCUUUUAAUAUUCAUUCAGAUGUUUUCUGACUCUAAAUGUUCUUUUCUCAUUUCUUAGGGUUUUCUAAUUUACAUUUAAAGCAUUUUCAGCUUUUUUCCAACUUCUUCUUCUGUGUAACCUUCAGCUUUUAGCAGUUCAGCACCUUUGUUUUCAGGUUAAAUUUGAUUUUUUGAUUUUUUUUUUAAUUUCAUUCAAUAUUUUUAACUCAAAAUUCAGCAAUUAAUUCAUUUCAGUGCAUACAUUCAGAUUCAAGCAUUCACACUGCAGUUUCUUCAGAAAAUGC